ensembl:snRNA U6 U6 spliceosomal RNA
GCACUUCAGCAGCACAUAUACCAAAAUUGGAGGAUACAGAGAAGAUUAGCAUGGCCUCUGUGCAAGGAUGAUGUACAAAUUUGUGAAGCGUGCCAGACUUUU